rnacentral:lncRNA from 1 species
ACGGUGAAGUCAUGGAUGGAUGCUGCAGACUUGGAGGAAGCCAUGUCAGAGGCGGAUCUAGAGAGCAGAGGCGACGCCGGCGAGGGCAGCAAGCAGAAGCAGGGGAUGAAGGCUCUCCGGAGGUCCCGAGAAUCGAAAGCAAGGAACUUUGCAGGGGCCGGUAAAGCCUUCAGGGUAAAGAACGAGAGGGGUUUGGCGAGGCGGAGGGAGACGGAAAAGCUAGUGUUUCUGGGAGAGAUAAGGCGAGAGAGGGCGAUGCGAGCGGAACCGAGCAUGGGACAGCAGCAGCGAGCUGGGCCGGCCCUUUUAUGCAGUAC